CAGUAGCCGCGGUAAUACGGAGGGGGCUAGCGUUGUUCGGAAUUACUGGGCGUAAAGCGCACGUAGGCGGCUUUGUACGUUAGAGGUGAAAGCCUGGGGCUCAACUCCAGAAUUGCCUUUAAGACUGCAUCGCUUGAACGUCGGAGAGGUGAGUGGAAUUCCGAGUGUAGAGGUGAAAUUCGUAGAUAUUCCGAAUAACACCAGUGGCGAAGGCGGCUCACUGGACGACUGUUGACGCUGAGGUGCGAAAGCGUGGGGAGCAAACAGGAUUAGAUACCCCCGUAGUCCCUGUCUCUUAUAC
rnacentral:rRNA from 1 species